rnacentral:tRNA from 1 species
GGGAUUUUAGUUUAAACGAAAACAAUAAUAUUGCAAAUUACAAACAUAACUUCACACCUAUAAAUUCCA